rnacentral:rRNA from 1 species
GAUGAACGCUGGCGGCGUGCCUAAUACAUACAAAUCGAGCGAACGGACGAGAAGCUUGCUUUUCUGAUGUUAGCGGCGGACGGGUGAGUAACACGUGGAUAACCUACCUAUAAGACUGGGAUAACUUCGGGAAACCGGAGCUAAUACCGGAUAAUAUUUUGAACCGCAUGGUUCAAAAGUGAAAGACGGUCUUGCUGUCACUUAUAGAUGGAUCCGCGCUGCAUUAGCUAGUUGGUAAGGUAACGGCUUACCAAGGCAACGAUGCAUAGCCGACCUGAGAGGGUGAUCGGCCACACUGGAACUGAGACACGGUCCAGACUCCUACGGGAGGCAGCAGUAGGGAAUCUUCCGCAAUGGGCGAAAGCCUGACGGAGCAACGCCGCGUGAGUGAUGAAGGUCUUCGGAUCGUAAAACUCUGUUAUUAGGGAAGAACAUAUGUGUAAGUAACUGUGCACAUCUUGACGGUACCUAAUCAGGAAGCCACGGCUAACUACGUG